rnacentral:rRNA from 1 species
UAUCCGGAAUUAUUGGGCGUAAAGCGUCUGUAGGUUGCCUAACAAGUCUGUUGUUAAAGGUUAAAGCUUAACUUUAAAACUGCAGCAGAAACUGCUAGGCUUGAGUACAGUUGAAGUAGAGGGAAUUUCCAGUGAAGCGGUGAAAUGCGUAGAUAUUGGAAGGAACACCAAUGGCGAAAGCACUCUACUAGACUUUUACUGACACUCAGAGACGAAAGCUAGGGUAGCAAAUGGGAUUAGAUACCCCAGUAGUCCUAGCCGUAAACGAUGGAUACUAAACAUUGCGUGCAUCGAUCCGCGUGGUGUUAUAGCUAACGCGUUAAGUAUCCCGCCUGGGGAGUAUGCUCGCAAGGGUGAAACUCAAAGGAAUUGACGGGGGCCCGCACAAGCGGUGGAGCAUGUGGUUUAAUUUGAUGCAACGCGAAGAACCUUACCAGGGUUUGACAUGGUGUUAAUUCUUUGAAAAAAGAAGUACCGUUCGCGGUAGACACACACAGGUGGUGCAUGGCUGUCGUCAGCUCGCGUCGUGAGAUGUUGGGUUAAGUCCCGCAACGAGCGCAACCCUUGUUUUUAGUUACAAGUAAUCUAAAAAGACUAUCGGUUAUAAACCGGAGGAAGGUGGGGACGACGUCAAGUCAGCAUGCCCCUUAUACCCUGGGCUACACACGUGCUACAUUGGGUAGGACAAUGAGACGCCAAACCGUGAGGUCGAGCUAAUCUACAAACCUACUCUAAGUUCGGAUUGGAGGCUGCAACUCGCUC